GGGGCUGACCGGUUUUGACAGCGGGCAGAAGUGGUUUGUAAGCAUGUAGUGCGUGGUUGGCUUGCACUGUAAUCUCAGACAACAAAAUUUUAACUGGCGAAAAUAAUUACGCUCUCGCUGCUUAAUCGAAGUAUAGUAGAUUAAAGCUUAAUCCCCGCAAUAGUUGUGGGGACGUUACAUCACCCGGAUGCUGUUGUUCCGAAGCGGUCCGAACCGGUGGUGCAGAAAUAUCGGAGAUAGUUUGCGGGAUUCCUCGGAUCGCAAGCGAAACAUAGAGGAUAAGGGUUGAGUUGGUGGCUUCGGUCUAGCUCCUCCCCGACAAUAUAAGCGAAGAUAAACAUGUAGAAAGCAAAUUAAUUCCUCGUUUGGACGAGAGUUCGAAUCUCUCCAGCUCCACCC
rfam:Macellibacteroides sp. HH-ZS contig_00003, whole genome shotgun sequence.